GGGUAGGCUUCGGACGCGGUGUCUCGGGCUAGUUGGGAAGUUAAACAGCCCACAUCAUUCCCCAACAGUACUUCGGCUGGUAGCUCCUGCAUAAUGCCAACCUCCAAUUGUUUAGAUCCCGAGCCCCAAUCCACAAGGACUUUAGCCAUAGGUAGUUUGAGAAUGGCACCCCCGGCUACCCUUACUGCCACAGUACGGCCCGUGUGAGUUUGGGC